rnacentral:sRNA from 1 species
GUUAAAACAUGUAAAUCUUCCCAAACACCGGUAUCAAAGAAGGAAUGUUAGAUUACUCGCUAAACGUAUCUGUUUAAGUUCCAUUGAUUCAAUUUUGUUUAUACCAUUCUGCAUUUUUUUGUCACUUGUGAUCAUGAAUGAGAUCAUGGCAGUGAACCAGCUUUGUUUCAGAGAAAAAAAAUAUGUAUUAUGUAUUAAUUAAGAUAUGUUGACUUAUUAUCUUGAAUCCCCUUUUUUAUAUUUUAUUUCAUACGCUAUAUUGCUUUGAUCAUUGCUUCCUUUAAGAUUGUUAAAUCAUUAAAUCAUGAGAAAACUGGGAUACGCAAAUGACAUUUGAAUCUGAAGUUCACACAAGUAAAUUACAUUACAGUAUGUUGGAUUCUUCUGUCAUUUUUUAAGUUUCAUGCUUUAAUUGUUCCAUACAGUAUAGGACAGAGUUUUGCCAUAUGUUUCCAUUGUUUUAUAUCAAGAUAUUUCGUGGACAGUUUAUGAAAUAAGAUAUAUUGACUUAUGAUUUAUUUUUUUUCUUCAAAAUCUCUCCUGAAAUAUCAAUGUAAUAAAAGAACACAACCAAAUUUUCUCACUUGGCAUUCAGAUUCUUGUUUCCUUUACUUGAUCUAUACUUAGGGAUAUACUAUUGGAAAUUUAUGGUGUAAGCUAGUCAUAUUUUAUUGAAAUAUGGUUUGUUUCAUAAUCAUUAAUGAAUCAUUUUCUGUUCAUAUUUGUUAUCUUGUAUUAACUUCAUUUUGGAAUGACAUUUGUUCGACAAAUUUUUGAGAUUAAGAUUUCUAAUAAGUGUAAGAGUUGUCACUCCUGACUUAUAUUUUUAUGAAUUUGUGUAGAUGGAGACAGUUUGUGGUUGUACCUCAAAUGUGCUCUCUUAAUGUUCCAUUUUAUCCUCCCCUUAUUUGUUGAAACAAUCACUUUUACGUGCAGAGUUCAGGUUGUAUAAUAUCCAAUGUAUUAGCAGAACAACAUUUGAUAUUUUUUUCACUACAUAAAUGAUUUCCUUUAGGACAUAUCGUAACAUAUUUACAUGUACAAUGAUGUUGGGUGUAAGAUGGUGUAAAAGUCAGCCAUGAAUAAAAAAUGC